GGUGUGCGGCUCAGUGGUAGAGUGUAGGACUUGUGGUCCGAAAGGUCCCGGGUUCGAUUCUCGCGAGAAGACCA
rnacentral:tRNA from 1 species